rnacentral:rRNA from 1 species
GUUGUAUGGUUAAGUGACUAAGCGUACACGGUGGAUGCCUUGGCAGUCAGAGGCGAUGAAAGGCGUAAUAACUUGCGAUAAGCCCAGAUUAGGUAGUAAUAACCUUUUGAGUCUGGGAUUCCUGAAUGGGGAAACCCACUUGCAUAAGCAAGUAUCCUGUUGUGAAUACAUAGCAACAGGAGGCAAACCGGGGGAACUGAAACAUCUAAGUACCCCGAGGAAGAGAAAUCAACCGAGAUUCCGAAAGUAGCGGCGAGCGAAAUUGGAUUAGCCCUUAAGCUUUUAAUGAUGCAGGUGAAGAGUCUGGAAAGUCUCGCAAUAAAGGG